rnacentral:rRNA from 1 species
UGAGUAACGCGUGAGCAUCCUGCCUUAAACAACGGGAUAGCCUCGGGAAACCGGGAUUAAUACCGUAUGAGACCCCGCCUUCCCAUGAAGAAGAGGUUAAAGAUUUAUCGGUUUAAGAUGGGCUCGCGUCUGAUUAGCUAGUUGGUGAGAUAAAAGCCCACCAAGGCAACGAUCAGUAACCGGCUUGAGAGAGUGAACGGUCACAUUGGAACUGAGACACGGUCCAAACUCCUACGGGAGGCAGCAGUGGGGAAUAUUGCACAAUGGGGGAAACCCUGAUGCAGCGACGCCGCGUGAGCGAUGAAGGAAUUCGUUUCGUAAAGCUCUGUCCUAGGGGAAGAUAAUGACAGUACCCUUGGAGGAAGCCCCGGCUAAAUACGUGCCAGCAGCCGCGGUAAUACGUAUGGGGCGAGCGUUGUCCGGAAUUAUUGGGCGUAAAGGGUACGUAGGCGGUUUCAUAAGUCAGAUGUAAA